rnacentral:rRNA from 1 species
UACAGAGGGUGCAAACGUUGCUCGGAAUGAUUGGGCGUAAAGCGCGUGUAGGCGGCCUGUUAUGCCGGUUGUGAAAGCCCGUGGCUCAACCACGGAAGUGCAGUCGGAACUGACAGGCUAGAGUGCCGAAGAGGGUGGCGGAAUGACCAGUGUAGAGGUGAAAUUCGUAGAUAUUGGUUAGAACACCGGUGGCGAAGGCGGCCACCUGGGAGGUUACUGACGCUGAGACGCGAAAGCGUGGGGAGCAAACAGG